rfam:Gossypium raimondii Chr05_contig_351, whole genome shotgun sequence.
UGUUAAAAUUUUCAUCCAUUUCUAUGGUUAAAAACUAGAAUGGCUGGCAAAAUAACCUAACAGUUACAGGUGGCAUAUGUACCUUAUGCUGACGCAUAUUGACUAAAUUUUAACAGUAGAAAUAAAUGAAUUUUUUAGCG